rnacentral:miRNA from 1 species
AAACCGGUAUAGCCGCGCGGCUAUACUAGUUUCAAGAAACAUUACUAAGCCCGAGUAUAGCCGCGCGGCUGUACUAUUUU